rnacentral:rRNA from 1 species
GACGAACGCUGGCGGCGUGCUUAACACAUGCAAGUCGAACGGAAAGGCCCUGCUUUUGUGGGGUGCUCGAGUGGCGAACGGGUGAGUAACACGUGAGUAACCUGCCCUUGACUUUGGGAUAACUUCAGGAAACUGGGGCUAAUACCGGAUAGGAGCUCCUGCUGCAUGGUGGGGGUUGGAAAGUUUCGGCGGUUGGGGAUGGACUCGCGGCUUAUCAGCUUGUUGGUGGGGUAGUGGCUUACCAAGGCUUUGACGGGUAGCCGGCCUGCGAGGGUGACCGGGCAAAUUGGGAAUGAGAUACGGACCAGAAUGGUACGGGAGGCAGCAGUGGGGAAUAUUGCACAAAGGGCGGAAGGCUGAUGCAGCAACGCCGGGUGCGGGAUGACGGCCUUCGGGGUGUAAAACGCUUUCGCCUGUGACGAAGCGUGAGUGACGGUAAUGGGUAAAGAAGCACCGGCUAAAUACGUG